UAAAAAAUAAAUUUAUUUUUUUACUUUUACAAAUGUCUUCAGAUAUUGCUGUGGUCUGGAAGCAAGGUCUUCGAAGAGCUCACGGAUAUAGAGAGGCAGUUCCACAAGGCCCUGUAUACGGUCCGAGCUUUUCUCAACUGUGACAGAUACUCUGUAGGACUCUUAGACAUGACCAAACAGAAGGAAUUUUUUGAUGUGUGGCCAGUUCUGAUGGGCGAGGCCCCAGCCUACUCUGGUCCCAGGACUCCAGAUGGAAGGGUAAGUUUCUUUGAGGUCUUCUCCAUAUGCCAGGCUUGGCAGACUUGCUCAAGAACUUUAAUUUACCGUGCAUAUUUAUCUUCACUGUAUUAGGCUCUUUCUCCUGUGUUGUGGUAAUUCUUCACAACUUCCGGAUCCUGUCACUUGCAAAAGCUCAAAAUCUUGCUGGAGUCUCAGAGGGACCCAGAGGAGUAGAUGAUGCAGAGAGGCAGACAGGGAGGAGCCUGUUGAUGUCCCACAGCUGGCUCAAGGGUCUCCCCUGGUAGGACAUUAGAACCAGUUUAGAACUAGAAAGAGGCUUCAAAUCUAAUCUACAACAUUCAAAUUAUAGGUAGAGCCCAGUCCCAACUACUUGAUAAGUUUGUUGACUGUGUUUAUUUACUUGUUUCUUUCUACUUACAAAAAACUGGACUGGUUUAUAGUCAUAGUCCUUUUUUUCCAUAGAGGGUUCUCAGUUUAUUUUGAAAAGAUAGAAAGUUAGUUGGAUGGGACCCAGCAGCCACAGGAUAAAUCUGACUGAAGCUGGGUAACAGUUACAUCGUUAGAGAGUGGCGUGAUCUGCCGAGUUAGCCACAGUCUGCAUCACUCAGGGCUCUUAUGCACUCCUGGCUAGGUACUCCUGCUUGCUUCCCAUGCCCUAUAGCACAGGGUCCCAGGAUGUCAUAUAACCAGGUUGUACCUGCAGAAGCUGUGGCUGCUCCAAAGAGGGAAAGGAAGAGAAAGUCAACAGUGGCUGAACG
rnacentral:lncRNA from 1 species